CCAGCUCUCACCUGGUGGUGUUAAAAUCUCACUAGGGCUUCCAAAUAUUGUACCCGAGCGAGUUAGAAAAACGCCACACUUUGAGAUGAAUUAAGAGUCCUUUAUUAG
rnacentral:pre_miRNA from 13 species